UACGUAGGGGGCAAGCGUUGUCCGGAAUCAUUGGGCGUAAAGCGCGCGUAGGCGGCCCGGUAAGUCCGCUGUAAAAGUCCAGGGCUCAACCCUGGAAAGCCGGUGGAUACUGUCGGGCUAGAGUCCGGAAGAGGCGAGUGGAAUUCCUGGUGUAGCGGUGGAAUGCGCAGAUAUCAGGAGGAACACCGAUGGCGAAGGCAGCUCGCUGGGACGGUACUGACGCUGGAGGCGCGAAGGCGUGGGGAGCGAACAGG
rnacentral:rRNA from 1 species